rnacentral:ribozyme from 1 species
UGCUGCCGUGGCCCUGCAAUGGGAUCUGAAGCCUCCGGAAGAUUCGAUCCAACUCCUAUUCCGACACGUCGACGUCGUGCAGGGUGGUAACAUGGGCCUAAGUCCAACCUUUCGUACGGACGACGGAUCAUGGCUAAGGAGGACGGA